rnacentral:rRNA from 1 species
CUCGUAGGCGGCCAACUAAGUCGGACGUGAAAUCCCUCGGCUUAACUGGGGAACUGCGUCCGAUACUGGAUGGCUUGAGUUCGGGAGAGGGAUGUGGAAUUCCAGGUGUAGCGGUGAAAUGCGUAGAUAUCUGGAGGAACACCGGUGGCGAAGGCGGCAUCCUGGACCGACACUGACGCUGAUGAGCGAAAGCCAGGGAGCAAACG